rnacentral:rRNA from 1 species
GACGAACGCUGGCGGCGUGCUUAACACAUGCAAGUCGAACGGAAAGGCCCUGCUUUUGUGGGGUGCUCGAGUGGCGAACGGGUGAGUAACACGUGAGUAACCUGCCCUUGACUUUGGGAUAACUUCAGGAAACUGGGGCUAAUACCGGAUAGGAGCUCCUGCUGCAUGGUGGGGGUUGGAAAGUUUCGGCGGUUGGGGAUGGACUCGCGGCUUAUCAGCUUGUUGGUGGGGUAGUGGCUUACCAAGGCUUUGACGGGUAGCCGGACUGAGAGGGUGACCGGCCACAUUGGGACUGAGAUACGGCCCAGACUCCUACGGGAGGCAGCAGUGGUGAAUAUUGCACAAUGGGCGGAAGCCUGAUGCAGCAACGCCGCGUGCGGGAUGACGGCCUUCGGGUUGUAAACCGCUUUCGCCUGUGACGAAGCGUGAGUGACGGUAAUGGGUAAAGAAGCACCGGCUAACUACGUGCCAGCAGCCGCGGUGAUACGUAAGGUGCGAGCGUUGUCCUGAUUUAUUGGGCGUAAAGGGCUCGUAGGUGGUUGAUCGCGUCGGAAGUGUAAUCUUGGGGCUUAACCCUGAGCGUGCUUUCGAUACGGGUUGACUUGAGGAAGGUAGGGGAGAAUGCAAUUCCUGGUGGAGCGGUGGAAUGCGCAGAUAUCAGGGGGAACACCAGUGGCGAAGGCGGUUCUCUGGGCCUUUCCUGACGCUGAGGAGCGAAAGCGUGGGGAGCGAACAGGCUUAGAUACCCUGGUAGUCCACGCUGUAAACGGUGGGUACUAGGUGUGGGGUCCAUUCCACGGGUUCCGUGCCGUAGCUAACGCUUUAAGUACCCCGCCUGGGGAGUACGGCCGCAAGGCUAAAACCCAAAGGAAUUGACGGGGCCCCGCACAAGCGGCGGAGCAUGCGGAUUAAUUCGAUGCAACGCGUAGAACCUUACCUGGGUUUGACAUGGAUCGGGAGCGCUCAGAGAUGGGUGUGCCUCUUUUGGGGUCGGUUCACAGGUGGUGCAUGGCUGUCGUCAGCUCGUGUCGUGAGAUGUUGGGUUAAGUCCCGCAACGAGCGCAACCCUUGUUCACUGUUGCCAGCACGUUAUGGUGGGGACUCAGUGGAGACCGCCGGGGUCAACUCGGAGGAAGGUGGGGAUGACGUCAGGUCAUCAUGCCCCUUAUGUCCAGGGCUUCACGCAUGCUACAAUGGCUGGUACAGAGAGUGGCGAGCCUGUGAGGGUGAGCGAAUCUCGGAAAGCCGGUCUCAGUUCGGAUUGGGGUGUGCAACUCGACCUCACGAAGUCGGAGUCGCUAGUAAUCGCAGAUCAGCAACGCUGCGGUGAAUACGUUCCCGGGGCU